rnacentral:rRNA from 1 species
UCCGUAGGCGGUGUGGCAAGUCGGAAGUGAAAUCUCUGGGCUUAACUCAGAGGCUGCUUCCGAAACUGCCGUGCUAGAGUGCGAGAGAGGCAAGUGGAAUUGCGGGUGUAGCGGUGAAAUGCGUAGAUAUCCGCAGGAACAUCCGAGGCGAAAGCGGCUUGCUGGAUCGCAACUGACGCUGAGGGACGAAAGCUAGGGGAGCAAACAGGAUUAGAUACCCUGGUAGUCCUAGCCCUAAACCAUCAGGACUUGGGGUUUGCCCUGUACGGGGCAAGUCCCGUAGUUAACGCGUUAAGUCCUGCGCCUGGGGAGUACGGUCGCAAGGCUGAA